GUUUACAAUUUUGUAAUUCAACUCGACAUCCAUUACCACUCGCGUUAAAAAAAUGACGGUUCACAGGGUUAAGGGUGAUCAUAACGCCCAAAGGCAUUACAAAUUUUACUAAUGAUCCUUCCGCAGGUUCACCUACGGAAA
rnacentral:misc_RNA from 1 species